rnacentral:rRNA from 1 species
GACGAACGCUGGCGGCGUGCUUAACACAUGCAAGUCGAACGGAAAGGCCCUGCUUUUGUGGGGUGCUCGAGUGGCGAACGGGUGAGUAACACGUGAGUAACCUGCCCUUGACUUUGGGAUAACUUCAGGAAACUGGGGCUAAUACCGGAUAGGAGCUCCUGCUGCAUGGUGGGGGUUGGAAAGUUUCGGCGGUUGGGGAUGGACUCGCGGCUUAUCAGCUUGUUGGUGGGGUAGUGGCUUACCAAGGCUUUGACGGGUAGCCGGCCUGAGAGGGUGACCGGCCACAUUGGGACUGAGAUACGGCCCAGACUCCUACGGGAGGCAGCAGUGGGGAAUAUUGCACAAUGGGCGGAAGCCUGAUGCAGCAACGCCGCGUGCGGGAUGACGGCCUUCGGGUUGUAAACCGCUUUCGCCUGUGACGAAGCGUGAGUGACGGUAAUGGGUAAAGAAGCACCGGCUAACUACGUGCCAGCAGCCGCGGUGAUACGUAGGGUGCGAGCGUUGUCCGGAUUUAUUGGGCGUAAAGGGUUCGUAGGUGGUUGAUCGCGUCGGAAGUGUAAUCUUGGGGCUUAACCCUGAGCGUGCUUUCGAUACGGGUUGACUUGAGGAAGGUAGGGGAGAGUGGAAUUCCUGGUGGAGCGGUGGAAUGCGCAGAUAUCAGGAGGAACACCAGUGGCGAAGGCGGUUCUCUGGGCCUUUCCUGACGCUGAGGAGCGAAAGCGUGGGGAGCGAACAGGCUUAGAUACCCUGGUAGUCCACGCUGUAAACGGUGGGUACUAGGUGUGGGGUCCAUUCCACGGGUUCCGUGCCGUAGCUAACGCUUUAAGUACCCCGCCUGGGGAGUACGGCCGCAAGGCUAAAACUCAAAGGAAUUGACGGGGCCCCGCACAAGCGGCGGAGCAUGCGGAUUAAUUCGAUGCAACGCGUAGAACCUUACCUGGGUUUGACAUGGAUCGGGAGUGCUCAGAGAUGGGUGUGCCUCUUUUGGGGUCGGUUCACAGGUGGUGCAUGGCUGUCGUCAGCUCGUGUCGUGAGAUGUUGGGUUAAGUCCCGCAACGAGCGCAACCCUUGUUCACUGUUGCCAGCACGUUAUGGUGGGGACUCAGUGGAGACCGCCGGGGUCAACUCGGAGGAAGGUGGGGAUGACGUCAAGUCAUCAUGCCCCUUAUGUCCAGGGCUUCACGCAUGCUACAAUGGCUGGUACAGAGAGUGGCGAGCCUGUGAGGGCGAGCGAAUCUCGGAAAGCCGGUCUCAGUUCGGAUUGGGGUCUGCAACUCGACCUCAUGAAGUCGGAGUCGCUAGUAAUCGCAGAUCAGCAACGCUGCGGUGAAUACGUUCCCGGG